rnacentral:rRNA from 1 species
AACUCCGGUUAACGCGAAAGAACCUUACCUACCCUUGACAUGUACGGAAGUCYGCUGAGAGGYGGAUGUGCUCGAAAGAGAACCGUAACACAGGUGCUGCAUGGCUGUCGUCAGCUCGUGUCGUGAGAUGUUGGGUUAAGUCCCGCAACGAGCGCAACCCUUGUCCUUAGUUGCUACGCAAGAGCACUCUAAGGAGACUGCCGGUGACAAACCGGAGGAAGGUGGGGAUGACGUCAAGUCCUCAUGGCCCUUAUGGGUAGGGCUUCACACGUCAUACAAUGGUCGGUACAGAGGGCUGCCAAACCGCGAGGUGGAG